GGUUAAGCGACUAAGCGUACACGGUGGAUGCCCUGGCAGUCAGAGGCGAUGAAGGACGUGCUAAUCUGCGAUAAGCGUCGGUAAGGUGAUAUGAACCGUUAUAACCGGCGAUUUCCGAAUGGGGAAACCCAGUGUGAUUCGUCACACUAUCAUUAACUGAAUCCAUAGGUUAAUGAGGCGAACCGGGGGAACUGAAACAUCUAAGUACCCCGAGGAAAAGAAAUCAACCGAGAUUCCCCCAGUAGCGGCGAGCGAACGGGGAGCAGCCCAGAGCCUGAAUCAGUGUGUGUGUUAGUGGAAGCGUCUGGAAAGGCGCGCGAUACAGGGUGACAGCCCCGUACACAAAAAUGCACAUACUGUGAGCUCGAUGAGUAGGGCGGGACACGUGGUAUCCUGUCUGAAUAUGGGGGGACCAUCCUCCAAGGCUAAAUACUCCUGACUGACCGAUAGUGAACCAGUACCGUGAGGGAAAGGCGAAAAGAACCCCGGCGAGGGGAGUGAAAAAGAACCUGAAACCGUGUACGUACAAGCAGUGGGAGCCUCUUUUAUGGGGUGACUGCGUACCUUUUGUAUAAUGGGUCAGCGACUUAUAUUCUGUAGCAAGGUUAACCGAAUAGGGGAGCCGAAGGGAAACCGAGUCUUAACCGGGCGUUAAGUUGCAGGGUAUAGACCCGAAACCCGGUGAUCUAGCCAUGGGCAGGUUGAAGGUUGGGUAACACUAACUGGAGGACCGAACCGACUAAUGUUGAAAAAUUAGCGGAUGACUUGUGGCUGGGGGUGAAAGGCCAAUCAAACCGGGAGAUAGCUGGUUCUCCCCGAAAGCUAUUUAGGUAGCGCCUCGUGAAUUCAUCUCCGGGGGUAGAGCACUGUUUCGGCAAGGGGGUCAUCCCGACUUACCAACCCGAUGCAAACUGCGAAUACCGGAGAAUGUUAUCACGGGAGACACACGGCGGGUGCUAACGUCCGUCGUGAAGAGGGAAACAACCCAGACCGCCAGCUAAGGUCCCAAAGUCAUGGUUAAGUGGGAAACGAUGUGGGAAGGCCCAGACAGCCAGGAUGUUGGCUUAGAAGCAGCCAUCAUUUAAAGAAAGCGUAAUAGCUCACUGGUCGAGUCGGCCUGCGCGGAAGAUGUAACGGGGCUAAACCAUGCACCGAAGCUGCGGCAGCGACACUGUGUGUUGUUGGGUAGGGGAGCGUUCUGUAAGCCUGUGAAGGUGUACUGUGAGGUAUGCUGGAGGUAUCAGAAGUGCGAAUGCUGACAUAAGUAACGAUAAAGCGGGUGAAAAGCCCGCUCGCCGGAAGACCAAGGGUUCCUGUCCAACGUUAAUCGGGGCAGGGUGAGUCGACCCCUAAGGCGAGGCCGAAAGGCGUAGUCGAUGGGAAACAGGUUAAUAUUCCUGUACUUGGUGUUACUGCGAAGGGGGGACGGAGAAGGCUAUGUUGGCCGGGCGACGGUUGUCCCGGUUUAAGCGUGUAGGCUGGUUUUCCAGGCAAAUCCGGAAAAUCAAGGCUGAGGCGUGAUGACGAGGCACUACGGUGCUGAAGCAACAAAUGCCCUGCUUCCAGGAAAAGCCUCUAAGCAUCAGGUAACAUCAAAUCGUACCCCAAACCGACACAGGUGGUCAGGUAGAGAAUACCAAGGCGCUUGAGAGAACUCGGGUGAAGGAACUAGGCAAAAUGGUGCCGUAACUUCGGGAGAAGGCACGCUGAUAUGUAGGUGAAGUCCCUCGCGGAUGGAGCUGAAAUCAGUCGAAGAUACCAGCUGGCUGCAACUGUUUAUUAAAAACACAGCACUGUGCAAACACGAAAGUGGACGUAUACGGUGUGACGCCUGCCCGGUGCCGGAAGGUUAAUUGAUGGGGUCAGCGCAAGCGAAGCUCUUGAUCGAAGCCCCGGUAAACGGCGGCCGUAACUAUAACGGUCCUAAGGUAGCGAAAUUCCUUGUCGGGUAAGUUCCGACCUGCACGAAUGGCGUAAUGAUGGCCAGGCUGUCUCCACCCGAGACUCAGUGAAAUUGAACUCGCUGUGAAGAUGCAGUGUACCCGCGGCAAGACGGAAAGACCCCGUGAACCUUUACUAUAGCUUGACACUGAACAUUGAGCCUUGAUGUGUAGGAUAGGUGGGAGGCUUUGAAGUGUGGACGCCAGUCUGCAUGGAGCCGACCUUGAAAUACCACCCUUUAAUGUUUGAUGUUCUAACGUGGACCCGUGAUCCGGGUUGCGGACAGUGUCUGGUGGGUAGUUUGACUGGGGCGGUCUCCUCCUAAAGAGUAACGGAGGAGCACGAAGGUUGGCUAAUCCUGGUCGGACAUCAGGAGGUUAGUGCAAUGGCAUAAGCCAGCUUGACUGCGAGCGUGACGGCGCGAGCAGGUGCGAAAGCAGGUCAUAGUGAUCCGGUGGUUCUGAAUGGAAGGGCCAUCGCUCAACGGAUAAAAGGUACUCCGGGGAUAACAGGCUGAUACCGCCCAAGAGUUCAUAUCGACGGCGGUGUUUGGCACCUCGAUGUCGGCUCAUCACAUCCUGGGGCUGAAGUAGGUCCCAAGGGUAUGGCUGUUCGCCAUUUAAAGUGGUACGCGAGCUGGGUUUAGAACGUCGUGAGACAGUUCGGUCCCUAUCUGCCGUGGGCGCUGGAGAACUGAGGGGGGCUGCUCCUAGUACGAGAGGACCGGAGUGGACGCAUCACUGGUGUUCGGGUUGUCAUGCCAAUGGCACUGCCCGGUAGCUAAAUGCGGAAGAGAUAAGUGCUGAAAGCAUCUAAGCACGAAACUUGCCCCGAGAUGAGUUCUCCCUGACCCUUUAAGGGGCCUGAAGGAACGUUGAAGACGACGACGUUGAUAGGCCGGGUGUGUAAGCGCAGCGAUGCGUUGAGCUAACCGGUACUAAUGAACCGUGAGGCUUAACCUU
rnacentral:rRNA from 1 species